GUCCACGCCCUAAACGAUGUCGACUGGUUGUUGGGGUUUGACACUCUCAGUAACGAAGCUAACGCGUGAAGUCGACCGCCUGGGGAGUACGGCCGCAAGGUUAAAACUCAAAGGAAUUGACGGGGACCCGCACAAGCGGUGGAUUAUGUGGAUUAAUUCGAUGCAACGCGAAAACCUUACCUACCCUUGACAUGUCCGAGAGCCUGAAGAGAUUUGGGUGUGCCCGAAAGGGAAUCGGAACACAGGUGCUGCAUGGCUGUCGU
rnacentral:rRNA from 1 species